GACGAACGCUGGCGGCGUGCUUAACAUAUGCAAGUCGAGCGGAAAGGCCCUGCUUUUGUGGGGUGCUCGAGUGGCGAACGGGUGAGUAACACGUGAGUAACCUGCCCUUGACUUUGGGAUAACUUCAGGAAACUGGGGCUAAUACCGGAUAGGAGCUCCUGCUGCAUGGUGGGGGUUGGAAAGUUUCGGCGGUUGGGGAUGGACUCGCGGCUUAUCAGCUUGUUGGUGGGGUAGUGGCUUACCAAGGCUUUGACGGGUAGCCGGCCUGAGAGGGUGACCGGCCACAUUGGGACUGAGAUACGGCCCAGACUCCUACGGGAGGCAGCAGUGGGGAAUAUUGCACAAUGGGCGGAAGCCUGAUGCAGCAACGCCGCGUGCGGGAUGACGGCCUUCGGGUUGUAAACCGCUUUCGCCUGUGACGAAGCGUGAGUGACGGUAAUGGGUAAAGAAGCACCGGCUAACUACGUG
rnacentral:rRNA from 1 species